UUCUUUCAGACCAUGUGACCCGUGUUUACAUUUCCCUCUCAGCUGUUUCUUUCUGCCUCCUCUCAGACGGCUCUCCACUUUCUCUCUCCAACCAAGCAGCAACUUAGCUCAGCGGCAAWCUCUCCUCUUUUCUCCUCAAUAAGCUGUCAGGGUGCCAGAAAAAACAAAAAACAAAAACWAACAAACAAAAAAAGUGGCUUUCACUGACCGCCGCAUCGAACGGUGCGUUCACGGCCAAGGAGUGCGUAAAUGCGACACAUUUGUGGACGAGGAGCAGUGAUUUUUUUUUUUAAACACUCGGAAACAUUUCAUGAAAACGCUGUUGUUGUUUUGCUUCGUCGUCACACGCAGUGCCGAA